UGGGGAAUUUUGGACAAUGGGCGAAAGCCUGGUCCAGCAAUGCCGCGUGUGUGAAGAAGGCCUUCGGGCUGUAAAGCACUUUUGUCCGGAAAGAAAUCCUUGGCUCUAAUACAGUCGGGGGAUGACGGUACCGGAAGAAUAAGCACCGGCUAACUACGUGCCAGCAGCCGCGGUAAUACGUAGGGUGCAAGCGUUAAUCGGAAUUACUGGGCGUAAAGCGUGCGCAGGCGGUUUGCUAAGACCGAUGUGAAAUCCCCGGGCUCAACCUGGGAACUGCAUUGGUGACUGGCAGGCUAGAGUAUGGCAGAGGGGGGUAGAAUUCCACGUGGAGCAGUGAAAUGCGUAGAGAUGUGGAGGAAUACCGAUGGCGAAGGCAGCCCCCUGGGCCAAUACUGACGCUCAUGCACGAAAGCGUGGGGAGCAAACAGGAUUAGAUACCCUGGUAGUCCACGCCCUAAACGAUGUCAACUAGUUGUUGGGGAUUCAUUUCCUUAGUAACGUAGCUAACGCGUGAAGUUGACCGCCUGGGGAGUACGGUCGCAAGAUUAAAACUCAAAUGAAUUGACGGGGUCAUAGCUGUUUCCU
rnacentral:rRNA from 1 species